GGGAAGGGCCGGCGCCGGAGCCGAUUUGGCUCCGCCUGUCCGCCCGAGACCUUGAGUGCCAGCUCGUUCUCUCAGGCCCAGUUGCUGCGCCGUCCGUAUUCAGGCUUUCGCUUCGCCAUGGGCGCCGCAGGCUCUUCUGCGCUGGCUGGCCUCGGCCUCCCCGCACUGCGCCUCCCCGCGCAAUCCCGGCCCGGGUGGCUCGGGGUCGCCGCCCUGGGACUGGCAGCAGUGGCGCUGGGGGCUGUGGCCUGGCGCCGCGCACGGCCCAGGCGGCGCCGGCAGCUGCAGCAGGUGGGCACCGUGGCGAAGCUCUGGAUCUACCCGGUCAAGUCCUGCAAAGGGGUGCCGGUGAGCGCGGCGGAGUGCACGGCCAUGGGGCUGCGCAGCGGCCACAUGCGGGACAGGUUUUGGCUGGUGAUCAAGGAAGAUGGACACAUGGUUACUGCCCGGCAGGAGCCUCGCCUUGUGUUGGUCUCCAUCAGCUAUGAGAAAAACAGCCUGAUCUUCAGCGCUCCGGGGAUGGACCAGCUGGUGUUACCCAGCAGGCCACCUUCCACUAACACACUCCAUGACUGCAGGUGUUCUGGCUGGGGACAUUCCACGAACUGCAACAGAUUUGGUUUAACUUUAGGUUCCUCCCUGCUUUCUGUCUUGUUUGUUCAGGAGGUGAUGGAAUUGGCAAAGGAACUAGUUAAGAGACAUAUAGUCUGGGUCAGGAUUGGGCCAGUGCUCAGGUGCGAGUGGGUGACGCAGAGAAUUGUUUCAUUGGUACCUAGGGUUAGGUUGAAUCACUUAAGGCCUGCGGACCCAGCAGUGACUGUCCUGCAGAAAGAACCUGUUUAUACUCACACAUUUCUAGAAUGGGAGGCAUGGCAUGCUGCAUGGGGUCACAAGGGAAAGCGCCAGGUUCAUCAGCAGGCAGAGGCAACAAAGGGCAAGUGCGGUCAGCAGCCUUCACGUGGUUUCUGCAGGAAAAACAAAAGCCUGGAGGUGGCCAGGUUUCGGGUUGGCCAGGUUGAAUAAUUUCAGCAGGCUGUGGGGCAUGGAGGUUGUCCCUGGUUGUCUGCUGCCUGGCCCUGGGGUGGUUAGGAUGUACAGCCCAGCAAGAAAGGGCUCACGGGAGGUACUUGGUGGUGUGGACUCUUUCAUGUGAAAGGCAUGCGUGCAGGAUGACUGGUUUACUCUCUUCUGGGAUUGGCUGGCUCUGGGAGGGGCGGCCCCUUCGGCAUCAGCAAGGAGCACCAAAAAUACAGAAGAGCAUGACUAAUACAGGUGUGCAGGGGGUACAAGGUGCCAGUCUUUAAGGCUCGUCUCCUUUCAUUCAAGUCAGAUGCACCUUUAUUUCAGGAUAUCCAGCCCUCCAGCCAGGCAUUCAAGGGAGUUAGUGGUGCCUGUAGCAGCAGCAAGUUAGGGCUGCACAGCAAGGAUGCUGGAGCGAUCUGGAGAGACUCUACAGCCUUGUUGUCCAUGGUGGAGAUGGAGGCAGUUGUAGGAAGCACUGGGUAUGAGGGAUCCUCACCUCUCAGGCUUUGGAUUCUUUUCAGUCUAGGGGAACCCCUGCCAGGCUGGCAAGUUCCAAAGCUUGCCGAGUUUUGUCCUUUGAUAUUAGGAAGUGUAAGAGACUUGGAUGCUUGUCAUAGACUAUUCUGGCUCCCUUUGUAAUUGAGCUUUUUAAGCAUGUGGAACUCAGUAUUGCUCAACGAUCCCAGGGCUCAGAGGAGAGCCUCAGAUAGACUGCUUGAACCCUUAUCCUGUGAUUUUUCAAACAGAUUGAGCUACAACCCAGUUUUCAAAACUGUGAAGCAAUAAUUCACUGAAUACAAUAUUUUAGUUAAUUCUCUAAGCAAGCCUAAGAAAUGAGUACCUUUAAUUCUGCUUUACAGAUAAGGAAGCCAAGACACCAAUCACUGUCACACCAAGGUGGAGCUGAGAUUUGAACCCACCUGCCUCCGAGGCCUUUGCUUUUAACACCUAUGUGCAGAGAGAGAAAAUGAUUCUCCCUAAUGACAUAUUUUGAGCAGACAAAUGCAUUGAUGAGAAACACUACAGCCAUCCCCACUAGACUGGAGGGCAUUUGAGGCUGGAGGGUGCCUGCUUAGCUCACAUGCGUGGAGUGAGGAUAUGGGUGUUGACUCAUUGGCAAUAAUCGUUUCCCCUCAGGCUCUUUAGCCCUAGGGAGGCACAAGUCUUUCUUGGAUGGAAAGCAGGAGAAAGGAGGCUGCUGUGGGGAUACUGACCCGGGACUGAAAAGGGUGCCAGGUGGAGUGGUGUAGUGUGAUUGUCUUCCUCACAUGCAUUGUGUUUCUGCAGAUCUCCGAGAGCUGUGCAUUUGGGCUGACCCAGAGGUGGAAUCCACACUCUGAUCCUUCCAGCUGAAUAUUCGGUGUUGACAUCCAAGGCAGAGACUGUGGUGACGAGGUCGCUCAGUGGUUCACCAACUUCUUGAAAACGGAAGCAUUGAGGUUGGUUCAGUUUGACACGAAGUUGAAGGGAAGAACAUCGGACAAACUUUUCCCUGUUUCUG